rnacentral:misc_RNA from 1 species
GUAGUCACCCGGGUUGCCGCAAGGCCUCUCGGGUAACCUACCACCCUUUGUUUAUUACACUUUGUUGCUUUGGCAAGCCUGCCCUCGGGCUGCUGGCUCCGGCCGGCGAGCGCUUGCCAGAGGACCUAAAACUCUUGAAUUUAAUAUUGUCUGAGUACUAUAUAAUAGUUAAAACUUUCAACAACGGAUCUCUUGGUUCU